rnacentral:rRNA from 1 species
GCAUAUCAAUAAGCGGAGGAAAAGAAACCAACAGGGAUUGCCCUAGUAACGGCGAGUGAAGCGGCAACAGCUCAAAUUUGAAAUCUGGCCCUCGGGUCCGAGUUGUAAUUUGUAGAGGAUGUUUUUGGUGAGGUACCUUCCGAGUUCCCUGGAACGGGACGCCAUAGAGGGUGAGAGCCCCGUCUGGUUGGAUACCGAUCCUCUGUAAAACUCCUUCAACGAGUCGAGUAGUUUGGGAAUGCUGCUCUAAAUGGGAGGUAUAUGUCUUCUAAAGCUAAAUAUUGGCCAGAGACCGAUAGCGCACAAGUAGAGUGAUCGAAAGAUGAAAAGCACUUUGAAAAGAGAGUUAAAAAGUACGUGAAAUUGUUGAAAGGGAAGCGCUUAUGACCAGACUUGGACUUGGUUGAUCAUCCUGGGUUCUCCCUGGUGCACUCUUCCAGUUCAGGCCAGCAUCAGUUCGUCGCGGGGGAUAAAGGCUUCGGGAAUGUGGCUCCUCCGGGAGUGUUAUAGCCCGUUGUGUAAUACCCUGCUUUGGACUGAGGUUCGCGCAUCUGCAAGGAUGCUGGCGUAAUGGUCAUCAGCGACCCGUCUUGAAACACGGACCAAGGAGUCGUCUUCGUAUGCGAGUGUUCGGGUGUUAAACCCCUACGCGUAAUGAAAGUGAACGCAGGUGAGAGCUUCGGCGCAUCAUCGACCGAUCCUGAUGUUCUCGGAUGGAUUUGAGUAAGAGCAUACGGGGCCGGACCCGAAAGAAGGUGAACUAUGCCUGUAUAGGGUGAAGCCAGAGGAAACUCUGGUGGAGGCUCGCAGCGGUUCUGACGUGCAAAUCGAUCGUCAAAUAUGGGCAUGGGGGCGAAGACUAAUCGAACCUUCUAGUAGCUGGUUUCCGC